AUCGAGACUAGAGUCACAUCCUGACACACACUGUUGUUUUGGUGUGCUAGAGUACUCGUAGAGAAAUUGUCUUUGCUAAUUCAUUGGUCGCCGCUCGUUCAGUUGCCCGGCCAAUCACCCGCUCAGAAACAUAU